rnacentral:misc_RNA from 1 species
CCAAACUUGGUCAUUUAGAGGAAGUAAAAGUCGUAACAAGGUUUCCGUAGGUGAACCUGCGGAAGGAUCAUUAUCGAGAGCGGGCCCCCUCGCGGGGUCUUCGCCUGUUCUCCUGCCUAUCAAGCGCCGAUUCCCCCGGCGGGCGCGAACCCGCCGGGGGACCUUAUUUGAACUCUUGCACAGCGGUACGGUCGGAGUGGCACUUCAAAUAUAUCAAAACUUUCAACAACGGAUCUCUUGGUUCUGGCAUCGAUGAAGAACGCAGC